rnacentral:rRNA from 1 species
CUACGUGCCAGCAGCCGCGGUAAUACGGAGGGUGCGAGCGUUAAUCGGAAUAACUGGGCGUAAAGGGCACGCAGGCGGUGACUUAAGUGAGGUGUGAAAGCCCCGGGCUUAACCUGGGAAUUGCAUUUCAUACUGGGUCGCUAGAGUACUUUAGGGAGGGGUAGAAUUCCACGUGUAGCGGUGAAAUGCGUAGAGAUGUGGAGGAAUACCGAAGGCGAAGGCAGCCCCUUGGGAAUGUACUGACGCUCAUGUGCGAAAGCGUGGGGAGCAAACAGGAUUAGAUACCCCGGUAGUCCUGGCCGUAAACGAUGGGUACUAGGUGUAGGAGGUAUCGACCCCUUCUGUGCCGGAGUUAACGCAAUAAGUACCCCGCCUGGGGAGUACGACCGCAAGGUUGAAACUCAAAGGAAUUGACGGGGGCCCGCACAAGCGGUGGAGUAUGUGGUUUAAUUCGACGCAACGCGAAGAACCUUACCAGGUCUUGACAU